CAGCACCUCAAGUGGUCAGGAUGAUUAUUGGGCCUAAAGCAUCCGUAGCCGGCUCUGUAAGUUUUCGGUUAAAUCUGUACGCUCAACGUACAGGCUGCCGGGAAUACUGCAGAGCUAGGGAGUGGGAGAGGUAGACGGUACUCGGUAGGAAGGGGUAAAAUCCUUUGAUCUAUUGAUGACCACCUGUGGCGAAGGCGGUCUACCAGAACACGUCCGACGAUGAGGGAUGAAAGCUGGGGGAGCAAACCGGAUUAGAUACCCGAGUAGUCC
rnacentral:rRNA from 1 species